GACGAACGCUGGCGGCGUGCUUAACACAUGCAAGUCGAACGGAAAGGCCCUGCUUUUGUGGGGUGCUCGAGUGGCGAACGGGUGAGUAACACGUGAGUAACCUGCCCUUGACUUUGGGAUGACUUCAGGAAACUGGGGCUAAUACCGGAUAGGAGCUCCUGCUGCAUGGUGGGGGUUGGAAAGUUUCGGCGGUUGGGGAUGGACUCGCGGCUUAUCAGCUUGUUGGUGGGGUAGUGGCUUACCAAGGCUUUGACGGGUAGCCGGCCUGAGAGGGUGACCGGACACAUUGGGACUGAGAUACGGACCAGACUCCUACGGGAGGCAGCAGUGGGGAAUAUUGCACAAUGGGCGGAAGCCUGAUGCAGCAACGCCGCGUGCGGGAUGACGGCCUUCGGGUUGUAAACCGCUUUCGCCUGUGACGAAGCGUGAGUGACGGUAAUGGGUAAAGAAGCACCGGCUAACUACGUG
rnacentral:rRNA from 1 species